UUCAUGUGAAUGCUGACAACAUGCCAGCUCAAGAGCUUUACAGAAAAACUGGCUUUAAGAUUGUUGAGGCUGCUUCGUCUCCUCUCUCGAAAGAUCAGAGGCUGCUGAUGUCCAUGGAACUCUGAGCUGUGACAUUAUGUUGCAUCAUUUCCUUAAGACUGUGAAGUUGUAGCAGUAAGUACUUCGGACGCAAAAGUUGAUGCCAACAGCCUGUUGGUUUUUUAAGGCAUAUUUGGUUGGCGUGAUUCAGUUACAAGAUUAUAGGGAAGCAAUGUAUACCAUAUCUGAUGUAAAUUUCUACGUCUUGAAUUAGAGGCUGCUUUUAUUCCUCUGUCAAAGAUCAGAGGCCUCUAAUGUUCAAUUGUGAUCUGAAGUUUCUCAUCAAGAAAUGAAGAUAAUUACAGCAGGUUUGUGUAAUCUGUAACAUAUGUUAAAAUCCCCAGUAUCUUGUUGGUUUUCUGCAUAAUAUUUGAUCCAGUGUGCUGUUGGUUUUCUGCAUAA